ACUUUAUGUCGCACAUUAUUAAUCUUAGGAUAGAUAAAAGACGCAACUUUCCAGAGUCCUGAAACAGUUGGCAAGUGUUAGUCAGAACAGUAACAAAUCAUUUGAGAAGAUGAAAUCCCUUAGCGUUGUGCUGUUUGUUGGCGUUUGCGUGUUGGCAGCGAUUUGUUCCUGCAACGGAAGCCCCCAAGAUGUGAACGAAGCCACGGUUGAAUUGCAAAACACUUUCCAGUCCGCUGGUUUGCCGAUUCGUAUCAAGAGACAAUCUUGUGACCUACGUAGUUGCGAUAUCGUCUGCCGCCAAUCGAACCGAGGAUGGCCUCGAUGUGUUAACGGAAGAUGUACUUGUACGAGAUCAAACCCUAAUUAAAAAAUGAAAACAUUAUCAAGAAUUUCCUUUUUUGGAAAAUAAAAAUCCUGUUGCUGUUUUUUAAA